UACGUAGGGUGCGAGCGUUGUCCGGAAUUAUUGGGCGUAAAGGGCUCGUAGGCGGUCUGUCGCGUCGAAAGUGAAAACCCAGGGCUUAACCCUGGGCCUGCUUCCGAUACGGGCAGACUAGAGGUAUGCAGGGGAGAACGGAAUUCCUGGUGUAGCGGUGAAAUGCGCGGAUAUCAGGAGGAACACCGGUGGCGAAGGCAGGUCUCUGGGCAUUAACUGACGCUGAGGAGCGAAAGCAUGGGGAGCGAACAGG
rnacentral:rRNA from 1 species